AGUGAACGCUGGCGGUAGGCCUAACACAUGCAAGUCGAACGGCAGCACAGGAGAGCUUGCUCUCUGGGUGGCGAGUGGCGGACGGGUGAGGAAUACAUCGGAAUCUACUCUGUCGUGGGGGAUAACGUAGGGAAACUUACGCUAAUACCGCAUACGACCUACGGGGGAAAGCAGGGGAUCUUCGGACCUUGCGCGAUUGAAUGAGCCGAUGUCGGAUUAGCUAGUUGGCGGGGUAAAGGCCCACAAAGGCGACGAUCCGUAGCUGGUCUGAGAGGAUGAUCAGCCACACUGGAACUGAGACACGGUCCAGACUCCUACGGGAGGCAGCAGUGGGAAUAUUGGACAAUGGGCGCAAGCCUGAUCCAGCCACACCGCGUGGGUGAAGAAGGCCUUCGGGUUGUAAGGCCCUUUUGUUGGGAAAGAAAUCCAGCCGGCUAAUACCUGGUUGGGAUGACGGUACCCAAAGAAUAAGCACCGGCUAACUUCGUGCCAGCCGCCGCAGUAAAAC
rnacentral:rRNA from 1 species